rnacentral:piRNA from 1 species
GAUAGAAAUAAUCCCAUGCGUGCUAUCGG